rnacentral:lncRNA from 10 species
CGGGACUUCCGGUCGGCGCCGCCUGCGAAGUGCUCCGCGGCCGGCGGAGACGCGGGCAGCCAGCGAUGGCCGCGGAGGGGGCGAACUGGGUUCCGGCCCUCGGAGGCUGACGGAAGGCGGUGGCUGAGGAGCGGCGCCUCUGGUUGAGCGCUCGCCGUGUGUCCCGCACCUGUCUGUCCUGCCGCCGCCCGGUAAGCACAGCACAGCACCGCACAUCUCCAGUCGGACUGGCUACAUUUCAAGGGCUCAACCAUCACGCGUUACCAGUGGCUACUGCAUCAGACUGUGCAGUGCUAGAUGGGGAGUCAGAAGAGAAACCAAGUGAUUUCCAUGUCAAGUGGUGAACAGGCUAAGAAGAAAAGUAAAUUGGGGAAAGAGCAUGGGGAAUGUGGGGGUUGCUGUUUGAAAGAGGAUGGUUGGGAAGGCUGAAGAGCUGUCAUUCGCAGAGGGACCCAAAAGAGGUCCACUUACAGCUGGAUUUACUUCCACCUCUGCCACCUGUGAGACAGCGAGACCAACCCCUCCUCCUCCUCUUCCUAGCCUACUCCGAGUGAAGAUGAUGAAGAUGAAGACCGUUAUGAUCCACUUCCACUUAAUGAAAGAUGAAUAUAUUUUCUCUUCCUAAUGAUUUUUUUUUUUUUUUUUUUGGAGACAGAGUCUCGCUGCAUCCCCCAGGCUGGAGUACAGUGGUAUGAUCUUGGCUCACUGCAACCUCUGCCUCCUAGGUUCAAGUGAUUCUCCUGCCUCAGUCUCCCGAGUAGCUGGGAUUACAGGCGCCCACCACCAUGCCCGGCUAAUUUUUGUAUUUUUAGUAGAGAUGGGGUUUCACUAUGUUGGCCAGGCUGGUCUCAAACUCCUGACCUCAGGUGAUCUGCCUGACUUGGCCUCCCAAAGUGCUGGGAUUACAGGCAUGAGCCACCUUGCCUGGCCUCUUCCUAAUGAUUUUUUAAAGUACAUCUUGUUUUCUCUGUCUUACUUUAUCAUAAAAAUAUAUGAUACAAAUAAAAUACAGAAUAUGUGUUAAUGGACUGUGUAUGUUAUGAGUAAGCCUUCCAGUCGACAGUGGGCUAUUAUUGGUGGUUAAGUUUUGGGGGAGUGUGUGUUCAAGGGUCAACCGCACUUCCUGAGGGCACUGUGAGAACUAAGUUAAAUAACCCACUUUUACAAUCUUUGGAACCGGGGGCAGGUGGCUGGGGCUCACACCUGUAAUUACAGCACUUUGGGAGGCUGAGGCAGGAAGAUCCCUUGAGGCCAAGAGUUUGAGACCAGCCUGGGCAACAAAGCAAGACUCUGUCUCUACAAAAAUUUU